rnacentral:rRNA from 1 species
UACGAAGGGGGGCUAGCGUUGCUCGGAAUCACUGGGCGUAAAGCGCACGUAGGCGGAUUGUUAAGUCAGGGGUGAAAUCCUGGAGCUCAACUCCAGAACUGCCUUUGAUACUGGCGAUCUCGAGUCCGGGAGAGGUGAGUGGAACUGCGAGUGUAGAGGUGAAAUUCGUAGAUAUUCGCAAGAACACCAGUGGCGAAGGCGGAGACCUGGGCCGAUACUGACGCUGAGGUGCGAAAGCGUGGGGAGCAAACAGGG